CGGGAGGAGAGCCGGGCGGCCGCUCCCGCAGCACCCUGGGAGUUAUAGUCCGCGGAGGGUAACCGCCCAGCUGCAAGCCGGGAGUUGAAGUUCUCGCUCGGAGGGUGGACGGGAUGGCCCGCCUCACGUGGGCCGCUACACGGCUGCCUUUCUUCGUAUUUUGCUUCGUUCUCUGUCCUCGUGUAAAGCUCCGCUGUCAUUCAGUCGGCGGUCUUCGUUAGCGGCUCCGUUUCCUCGGUGUGUGCUCAGAACUGGGAUACCAGAACUCGGGCGAGCUUAACCAAUUUAGGGGGAACCGGGAACGUCUCUUCUCUGCCCCGCCCACCAUAGGUAUUAAAGGAGGCGGGGUAGAGGCAGGUUGUCGGUAGGAGGAGCGCGGGAUUUGAUCUGGGGUGAGACCUUGACUCUGAAUUGGCGUCUGUUUGCGAAAAGUGAGCGUUAACUCCUUUUCCUGUCUUUGCGCGUUUUGGAGCCACCACCCUUGAUCCCAUCCUCACCGUUAAUCUCCAGUGAGGAAGUAUCCUAAAUUGUCCUGUACAGAUAUACCAGAGAACGAUGGAGCCAUGCACUUAGAGAAACGUGUUUCUAAUGAUAUAAAUUUGAGAACAUUAUGUGGACUUCGCUGCAGAUCAUUGUUAGUUCGGUGUUCUACCUGUACGGCUCUGCGCAUGAAGUUCACCAACCACCACAUAUCAAUCAGUACAUCCCAACGAAUGUUCAGAAUGUACUCGCAAUCCCUACGAGCGCCGACGAAUCCUCAAUCACAAAAAUCAAGUUCCUGAUCCCACCCGCUGGUCUCCUAGAGCUCUGGUGAAAGUGGCGCUCGAAGCACUCAGUUUUGCUUAUUGCGUGUAUUCUUCGCCCAUUCAUACAAUGAAUGCUCAGUGGGCUCCUCCUGUGUGCCUGGCACUGUUCUAUAUAUGGGAAGACGACGUUUCUUCACUAUCAAGGCUAGAGACAACAAUUUAUUUGGUGAAACCUUAAAGAACUUGAUAAACUCGCGAUUAACCAUAAAUUUGAAAUUACAAAAUCAUGCAAUUACUGUGUAGCAAGGAAAUUUGAGAAAUCAUUUGGACUCACCUUUAGGUAACCAUCUAAAAACAUUAACACUGCUGUGUGGAGAAUGGAUAGGAGAAGAACAAGAACAGAAAUGGAGCAACUAAUUUAAAGAACAGUUCAGGUAUCCAGGUGGCGGUUCUGACUGUGGUGGCAGUGAAGGCAGCAAACAGGUGAUGAAUUCAAGAUCUACUUGGACUUGGUGAUGCACUGGACAAGGGAAGUGUUCUCAUAAAUGGCUCUCAGAUUUUCUGACCUAAAUGGCCUUAUAAAUGGUGACUCUUUUGGUAAAGAGAAGAAGGAUGAAUAUUGAAACAGCAUCUGGACAGAGAUGUCCAUCUAGAUGGAGAUGUCUCCAGCUUCGUUGGAGAAACUAUGGGAUUUUAGGGAAAUCACGAUUAUGCGUUUGAAAUUGGCGAACUUAAAAAUUGUGGCAGUUGUAUUUUGUCCAUCUUAGUGGUUUUUCUCUAAUAGUGCUUAUCUACUUGAGUUCCACCACAGCAGUAUAUGUAAGUGUAUAUAUAUAUAUAUA